GUUGCACUGGCACUAGCUCAUUGUGCUGGACCGUGGAGACCUAUUGUUCCUGUAAAGAUGUGAAGAUGAAAGAAUAAUUUUUAUGGAGAUUUGAAGGUCUGUAAGGUAAGUGUUUUUGGUAAGUAUAGUGCACAUUGUUCGUCCUCAAUGAGGGUGCAAUAAACUAAUGUGACAUUCUUUUCUUUCUAUUCCCCCAGGUGAAUCCUACAACAUUGAACGCAGCAAAAGAGACCCUCAAUCCCCAUAUUGCUAACCCCAUGCAAUGCAAAGUGCCGGUAUAGGACCGUCUCCUUGUUUCCUCUCCUGACCUGAUACCUGUGCUGUUUAAAACGGAUCUCCAUGGAGUAUUUGGAUUCUCCAAUGUACAGUUUCUGGCAACUCGAGCAUCUAAUUGCGUACACCACAUUAGAUCAACUUAAAAGAACCCAGGUCCUCCAGGGUCUCCUGGGCCUGUCCAAGGUUGUGCCUUAAUUGGCCACCCAAACGUCCAAGAGGACGAGAGAACGUCGUGA